GAGCUGUUCCCUUCUCCUUUCUCCGGGACGACCCCGUUGGCCGCGUUCUCUGUCCCGUUCUCGAUCCCCAUCGUCCCGUUCUCGAUCCGGUUCUAGAUCUCGGCCAUCCCCAUCUUCAUCCCGUUCUUGAUCUCGGCUGCCCCGUUCUCGAUCCAGUUCUUGAUCCCCAUUGUCCCGUUCUCGAUCUGGGCCGUCCCAUUUUUGGUCCCCCUCUAGAGCUUGAUAACCCAGUUCUUGAUCCCUGUCAUUCAGUUCCUGAUCCUGUUCCAGAUCCUGGUUGUGCUGUUCUUGACCCUGUGCUAGAUCCCAAUCAUCCCGUUCUUGAGCGCAUUCUAGAUCCCGAUCACCCCAGUCUCCAUCCUGUUCUUGAUCCCAAUUGACCAGUUCUUCUUCCAGUUCUACACCCAAAUUGCUGUGCUCUAGAGCAUGUUCUAGAUCACAAAUAGCGUGUUCUCGAUCACAACGGUCUCCUUCCUGAUCAUCCAAUCCCUGAUCACGUUGACAUCUCUGGCCCCGCUCUAGAUCUGGUUCAUGUUGUUCUAGACCUGGUUGACAUCGUUCUUGGUCCGGUUGACAUUGUUCUCCAUCCGGCUGGCACGGUUCUUGAUCCACUUGAUGCGGUUCUCGAUCUGGCUGGCGCCAUUCUGCAUCCGGCUGAUGUUCUCGUUUCGGUUGACAUCGCUGACCCUGUUCUUGACCUGGUUGAUGUUCUCGAUCCCGUUGACGCUGUUCUCGAUCCCGGUGACAUUGCUGUUGGUGCAGUUGACGCUGCUGACCCCGUUCUCGAUGUGGUUGAUGUGGUUCUCGAUCUGGUUGGUGCCGUUCUCGAUCCUGGUGACGUUGUUCUUGAUACAAUUGACGCUGCUGACCCCGUUCUUGAUGUGGUUGACGUGGUUCUCGAUCUGGUUGAUGCUGUUCUUGAUCCCGGCGACAUUCUUGAUGCAAUUGAUGCUGCUGACGCUGUUCUUGAUGCGGUUGACGUGGUUCUCGAUCUGGUUGGCGCCGUUCCCGAUCCUGGUGACGUUGUUUUUGAUGCAGUUGACGCUGCUGAUGCCGUUCUCGGUUCAGCUGAUGCGGUUCUCGAUCUGGUUGGCGCCGUUCCCGAUCCUGGUGACGUUGUUGUUGAUGCAAUUGACACUGCUGACACUGUUCUUGAUCCGGUUGGCAUCGUUCUCGAUCCGGUUGACCCCGUUCUUGAUCCACUUGACCCCGUUCCCGUUCUGGUUGACGCUGUCGACCCCGUUCUUGAUCCCAUUGAUGUUUCUGCUGCUGUUCUUGAUCCAGUUGACGCUGCUUUCGAUCUGGUCGACCCCGUUCUCGAUCUGGUUGACCCCGUUCUUGAUCCCGUUGACAUCUACUCUGCUGUUCUUGAUGUGGUUGACCUGGUUCUUGAUCCAGUUGGCCCCGUUCUCGAUCUGGUUGACCCCAUUCCUGAUCCUGUUGGCGUUUCCUCUGCUGUUCCCGAUUUGGUUGACCCCAUUCUUGAUCUGGCUGACGCCGUUCUUGAUCCCGUUGAUGCUCGCUCUGCCGUUCCCGAUUCGCUUGAUCCCGUUCUCGAUCCGGUUGACCCCGUUCUCGAUCCCGCCGUGCCGCCGCGGGUUUCGCCGCCUCCUCGGCCUCGUCGGGCUCCAAACCCAGAACCAACCACGAGUGGAUGAGGGACGGGACGUAUCCUUGCACCAGCGGCUCCAACAACGCCGGCUGCCCCAUUAAGCGCUGCAGCAAACGAAGGGCGCGGGGGGCGGGGUCCGGGACCCCCGUCAGAUAGCGGAGGAAGCCCGUCACCACGGGGGGGGAAGCGAAAGCGGGGCUGGGGUCGUCGAAGGAAGCCAGGCGCCCCAAAAGGAGGAGGGCGGGAGCUUCGGGGCGCCAUGGGUCGCCGUCGCCGAGAGAGCGGGGCAAGGCCAGGGCGCGGAGAGGGGCUAAAAGGG
ensembl:lncRNA